CAAGUCUACUCGAGCAGCGUCUACUCGAACAGCAAGUCUGUUGGACGAAUUGAGAUUCAUCUUACACAGGGCGCCGUGACCGGAGAGGGCGCGGCCCCGCGCGAGGCUGUGGUCGGUGGCCUGCCCUGCGGCGUGAGUGGGGAGGGCAUCCAGCGCCCGCCGCGCGAGGCCUGCAAGCUGCCUAAGCUGCCGCCGCGGGCUGCCCUGUGAGGCCCGCCGCCCAAAUCGGCCAGUCCGGCCACCCCGCGGACCGAAGGCCGGUGGCCGGUCGCCGGGGCAAGCGAACGGCCGGCCGCCGCGGAGGACGGGGCCGGGGCCCCUGCCCUGCAGCCGCAAUCUGAGUCCGUCCAAGCUAGAGGCAGCGUGCCCCUCGCUGUUGUUGCCGUCCAGGCAGGGGUGCCCCUCGCCCUUGCUGUUUGACAGGACAGGGAAAUUGGCACACGGCCUCCCAACGCCGGCGGCCGUGCUUGCACCUCGCCGCAUCAGGGCCGGCGCAGCCACCUCGACGCGCUCGGCAGCCUCCCGCAGCGGUCCGCCUCUCCCAGCACCGGCGGCACGCCUCCACCUGCGUGAGGGCGCGCCUCCGCGGACGGCGGCAGGACUGGCGCGCUCGCCUCCCACGAGGACGGCGACGGGCCCGGCGGCGCUCUCGCCGCACUCCAGCGGGGGUGCUCCCAGCGGACUCCGGCGGCACGACUCCACCUGCGCGAGGGCACGCCUCCGCAGGCGUCGGCAGGGCCGGUGCGCCCGCCUCCCACGCGCGCAGCGACGGGACCGGCGGCGCUCCGGCUGCGGCGGCUGCGGGGGAUCAGUCGGCGGCGCGGGGUCAAAACAGAGGAGUUCGCCGGUCUGAGCCAAAAUGGGAUGGUGGGGGCUGAAAACGGAGCUUAGGGGUUGGAUGCGCAGCAGACCGUUGGAUGCUCCUUCUACGUUCUAGAUGGUCUCAAUGUUUCAACGUGACAUGCUAUAGCAAUGUCACUGAAUCCAAGUCCGAAAAAGGAAGGAGGGGAAAGAAUAUUAUAGGUAAGGGCAGUUGUGUCUUUUCACGUAUCUUUCUAUUAAAAAUGAAUAUAUUAAUAGAUAUAGUGUUCAACACCUAAUUGGCAUGAAAGUUUAGUAUGUUUAGGCAAAGACAUAUUUUUUUAGUGUGUUAUGGCAAAUGUCACCUUUUUUGAGUGGCCUGCA